AAUCAACUUUCUACCGGGAAAAACCAUUUGCCUACGUUUACUAGGCAAUUUAAUUUAAAAAAAAAAGAAUCUAAACGCAUCUGUAUUCUUAAAGAAAUUUACUUUUAUUUUCACGGUUUUCCCGAUAGCAAACGAAAAAUAUUACUUAUUUUUAAUAUUAUUUUGUGAAUAUCUUAAGUGAUAAAACCAUAGUUACAAAUUCUUCAACAAAACUUUUUAGAUAUAUAUUACUUUACUCACUAGCCACCAUUUUGAGUGAAUCGAUAAUUUUUUAGCUUGUGUAUUCUUUUUCUUUGGCGUGUUUUCGCAUUAAACGAAGACAAAUUUAACGCGACGUCGCGAAGUAGAUAACUAGUGGGGUAUACUGCUACACAAAAAAAAAAGCCUAUAUAUCUGUGAAGAACAAAAGCGACAAGAAAUGGCAGACGAAGACCUAUCACUGAACGAAGAUCAACUUCUGGAUAACUUGGAUGAUGCUAACGGAGAAUCGGAAAUUUUGAACGAGGAGGAAUCCAAUAUGCAAAUUGACCCAGAAUUAGAAGCAAUUAAGGCUCGAGUAAAAGAAAUGGAAGAAGAAGCUGAAAAAAUUAAACAAAUGCAAUCUGAAGUAGAUAAGCAAAUGGCCGGCUCCACCACUGGCAUCGCUACAGUACCUCUUUCCAUCGAAGAGAAACAAGAAAUCGAUACGAGGUCGGUGUACGUAGGCAAUGUUGAUUAUGGGGCUUCCGCUGAGGAAUUGGAGUCUCAUUUUCAUGGGUGUGGAACUAUUAAUCGCGUAACAAUAUUAUGUAAUAAGGCCGACGGUCACCCGAAGGGAUUUGCCUACAUCGAAUUUGGAUCAAAGGAAUUUGUGGAGACCGCUUUAGCAAUGAACGAAACAUUGUUUAGAGGCCGACAAAUAAAGGUUAUGUCGAAGAGAACGAACCGUCCAGGACUGUCAACGACUAACCGCUUUUCUCGUGGAAGCUUCAGAGGCAGAGGUGCUAGAGUUUCCCGUGCUUGCUGUCACAGUACCUUUAGGGGCGCAAGACGGCCAAUGUAAUUUAGGAUGGGUUACCGUGGCAGGGCAAACUACUACGCACCUUACUGAUUAUUGCUUUUUCCUUCUUAUUUUUAAGAUUUUUAUUGAAAAGAAAAAAAAAAUAUUAUAGUUCAAAAAACAUUAUAUGUCUUCUUAGUUAGUAUAAAAAGGAAAAAAAAAAAAUAAAACAAGAAAAGAAGGAAAAUAAGAAGAAUAAAAUUUUAAAAAAGGAAUGAUUUCAUAAAAGAAGAAAAAAAAAUACUAAGGAAAACAAACUUAAAAAAAAAAUAUACAUAAAAAUAAACAUAAUUAUGUUUAACGAGCACUUAUUAUUUCAACUAUAAUGUUUUUUGAAUGGGUCGAAGAUAUUUAAAAAUUUAAAAAAAAAAUAUUUUAAGAAAUAAGAAGAAAAAAAAAAGAAGAUAUCUAAGAACAAAAAAAAAAUGAAAAAAAAAAUAGAGGGAAGAUGAAUGAAAGAAAAAGAAAAAGUAAAAAGAAGAAAACAAAAAAAAGGAGACGAAAAAAAAAUUUAAAGAAAAAAAGAACUAAAAGAAGUUAAAAAAAAACCAACAACAAACGCAAAACAAGGAAAUGAGAAAAUCCCAAAUAACCUAUAUAAUGAUUAUAUAAAAUUAAAUUACUGAUAAUGAAGAUAUAAUAAAAAAAAAUAUUUCAAACAAA